rnacentral:rRNA from 1 species
CAAAAACAUGUCUUUUUGAUUAUAAUUUAAAGUCUAACCUGCCCAAUGAGGAGUUAAAUGGCCGCGGUAAUUUGACCGUGCAAAGGUAGCAUAAUCAUUAGUUUUUUAAUUGAAAGCUGGAAUGAAUGGUUGGACGAGAAAAUAACUGUCUCAAUUUAAUUGGAAUUAGAAUUUUAUUUAUAAGUAAAAAAGCUUAUAUGAAUUUAAAAGACGAGAAGACCCUAUAGAAUUUAAUAUAUUAAUAUGUUUAUUAUUUUAGAAUUUUUAUUUAUAUAUAUAGAAGUAUAUUUUGUUGGGGCGAUAGAAAAAUUAAUUAAACUUUUUUUAUAUUUUAACAUUAAUGUAUGUGUAAGUGAUCCGUUUAUUACGAUUAAAAGAUUAAAUUACCUUAGGGAUAACAGCGUAAUUUUUUUUUAGAGUUCUUAUCGAAAAAAGAGUUUGCGACCUCGAUGUUGGAUUAAAAUUAACUUUUGGUGUAGGGGCU